rnacentral:rRNA from 1 species
UACGUAGGUGGCGAGCGUUGUCCGGAUUUAUUGGGCGUAAAGGGCGCGCAGGUGGUGUGGUGGGUCCGUCGUGAAAUCUCCCGGCUCAACUGGGAGGGUGCGGCGGAGACUGCCAGACUAGAGGCACUCAGAGGCCGGUGGAAUUCCCGGUGUAGUGGUGAAAUUCGUAGAUAUUAGGAAGAACACCAGUGGCGAAGGCGGCUCUCUGGACCGAUACUGACGCUGAGGCGCGAAAGCGUGGGGAGCAAACAGG